CGGAGCAAAGUGUGUGUGCAGGAGAGGAGUCGAGCAGAGAGAGCUGCUUUUUCAUUAAACGGGAGUUAAGUAGUAAACUUACAGGAACAUAUACCACUACCGUCGAUCUGCACAUCCUUGUCUCCUGUAUUGUAGCUGAGAUCAGCGUGAACCACGUGGGUCUCUGCUCCCUGAUCUGUUUUCUGUUUGGAAAGACUUCCAGCUUCAUCACGGAGGUUCUCUCGGUUUGUGGGCUCAUCUAAAGGGAUAAAAUACACAUGUAUACUUUUUGUCUCCCAGCUGAGUAACAGGAGGAGAAGAGUGGUGGUGCAGCAGAGGAACAAUUUCAGCCAUUUGGACUCAGCUCAGCCACUACAGAGGAAACAAUGACUUCAACACAAAAGGACCAACAUGGAGCGAGAAGUCAGCGCUCUCAGGAGGCCGACAAACCUCACAGAAGAAAGAGAGAGAAAACAUACAGCUGUGAUGAGUGUGGGAAGGGUUUUACCUCAGCUCAAGGCCUAAAAACACACCAACUCAUCCACAGUGGAGUUAAACCUUAUAGCUGUGACUUGUGUGGAAAGUCUUUUACCCAGGCUCAAAACCUGAAAACACACCAACUCAUCCACAGUGGAGUUAAACCUUA